rnacentral:rRNA from 1 species
UGCAAGUCGAGCGGACAGAUGGGAGCUUGCUCCCUGAUGUUAGCGGCGGACGGGUGAGUAACACGUGGGUAACCUGCCUGUAAGACUGGGAUAACUCCGGGAAACCGGGGCUAAUACCGGAUGGUUGUUUGAACCGCAUGGUUCAAACAUAAAAGGUGGCUUCGGCUACCACUUACAGAUGGACCCGCGGCGCAUUAGCUAGUUGGUGAGGUAACGGCUCACCAAGGCAACGAUGCGUAGCCGACCUGAGAGGGUGAUCGGCCACACUGGGACUGAGACACGGCCCAGACUCCUACGGGAGGCAGCAGUAGGGAAUCUUCCGCAAUGGACGAAAGUCUGACGGAGCAACGCCGCGUGAGUGAUGAAGGUUUUCGGAUCGUAAAGCUCUGUUGUUAGGGAAGAACAAGUACCGUUCGAAUAGGGCGGUACCUUGACGGUACCUAACCAGAAAGCCACGGCUAACUACGUGCCAGCAGCCGCGGUAAUACGUAGGUGGCAAGCGUUGUCCGGAAUUAUUGGGCGUAAAGGGCUCGCAGGCGGUUUCUUAAGUCUGAUGUGAAAGCCCCCGGCUCAACCGGGGAGGGUCAUUGGAAACUGGGGAACUUGAGUGCAGAAGAGGAGAGUGGAAUUCCACGUGUAGCGGUGAAAUGCGUAGAGAUGUGGAGGAACACCAGUGGCGAAGGCGACUCUCUGGUCUGUAACUGACGCUGAGGAGCGAAAGCGUGGGGAGCGAACAGGAUUAGAUACCCUGGUAGUCCACGCCGUAAACGAUGAGUGCUAAGUGUUAGGGGGUUUCCGCCCCUUAGUGCUGCAGCUAACGCAUUAAGCACUCCGCCUGGGGAGUACGGUCGCAAGACUGAAACUCAAAGGAAUUGACGGGGGCCCGCACAAGCGGUGGAACAUGUGGUUUAAUUCGAAGCAACGCGAAGAACCUUACCA